GCCUUUGUGGUGUAGUGGUCAGAAAGCUUGACGCGCAUUCAAGAGGUCCGUGGUUUGAGUCCCGGCGAGGGCA
rnacentral:tRNA from 1 species